AAGUCGUAACAAGGUUUCCGUAGGUGAACCUGCGGAAGGAUCAUUACCGAGAUAGGGUUCCUUAUGGGCCCGACCUCCAACCCCAUGUUUACAAACUUUGUUGCCUCGGCGGGACAGUCGGACGCCCCCAACGGGGCGGCCGCCCACAGCCCUCUUCAAACAGGGCCUUGGAGUUUCCCGUCGCAGGACCAAUUCAAAACUCCUUUGAACGAGCCUUCUGAGUAAAAAACAAAAUUCUUCAAAACUUUCAACAACGGAUCUCUUGGUUCUG
rnacentral:misc_RNA from 1 species